CCUACGGGAGGCAGCAGUAUGGAAUCUUCCACAAUGGACGAAAGUCUGAUGGAGCAACGCCGCGUGAGUGAAGAAGGGUUUCGGCUCGUAAAGCUCUGUUGGUAGUGAAGAAAGAUAGAGGUAGUAACUGGCCUUUAUUUGACGGUAAUUACUUAGAAAGUCACGGCUAACUACGUGCCAGCAGCCGCGGUAAUACGUAGGUGGCAAGCGUUGUCCGGAUUUAUUGGGCGUAAAGCGAGUGCAGGCGGUUCAAUAAGUCUGAUGUGAAAGCCUUCGGCUCAACCGGAGAAUUGCAUCAGAAACUGUUGAACUGGAGUGCAGAAGAGGAGAGUGGAACUCCAUGUGUAGCGGUGGAAUGCGUAGAUAUAUGGAAGAACACCAGUGGCGAAGGCGGCUCUCUGGUCUGCAACUGACGCUGAGGCUCGAAAGCAUGGGUAGCGAACAGGAUUAGAUACCCCAGUAGUC
rnacentral:rRNA from 1 species